rnacentral:lncRNA from 1 species
UCUGGUUUAAAAUUUGGAUAACUAACUUGCAGCAUGGUAUGAAUUUGAAAACACUGACCUAAAGCAAUGUUUUCCAAAUUAUACUCCACAGAGAUUAACUUGCAAGAUAAUCUAGGGGGAAAAAAAGCAUUUGGCAGCCAAGAAAGUAUGAGAAAUGCUAUUAACUAUAAGCUCCUUUUGGAAAUUCACAAUUGUGCAUUAAUGUAUGAAAAACUCUGAGAAGUCUCUGCACCCCUCAGUAAAGGUCCACCUAUUUAACUUUAACUCAAUGUUUAUUAAAUUGGGCAUUCAUCCUUUAAACUUUGCAUCAUACAAUACCUCGUAACUGGAGAGGCAAUAAACAGUCAAAGGAGAUUUCAUCGUUGUGCAAACAUCCAAGGUAUUUACACAAAUCUAGAUGGUAUAGCGCACUACGCAUCUCGGCUAUAUGGUACUAAUCUCAUGAGACCACCAUCGUAUACGAGGUCCCUCACUGACCGAAACCUUGUGAUGUUACAUGUACAUGUUACAUUACAUGACUGUAAUGUGGUGGUUAAGAGUACGGUCUUUGGAACAGUACUGACUGCAUUUGAAUCCUGGCUGGCUCUGCCACUUAUUAGUUAUUAGUUUCUUCAUCUGUAAAAUAGAUAUCAUAAUAACAAUACCUACCUACAUGCCAAGUAUGUAUAACAGGAUUUAUAACACCAUAAGCACUAUAUAAGUGUUGAUUAACAUCCAGCAGAACCAGUGUUCUAAGACAGACUUUGGGAAACAGUGGUAGAGAAUCCAGCCCUUUAGAAUUCUGGGGCUUCUGUCUCUCCAUGUGAAGAUUACCAACUAUUUGGAGAGAAGGGAUAUAAUUGUGACACAAUAUGUUAAGUCCUGAACAAGGAGCAAGUGAGGACUCUGGAGCCCAGAGAAGACAAGGAUAUUUCUACUAGAGAGGGAGGUUUCAGGAAAGAAUCCACAGUCAAAUUGACAGAAAUCCUAAAAUGCAGGAAUUAAGAAGCACAAACGUGAAAAACAGAUACUCAACCAGGGAAGGAUCAGAGGAUCAGUACGGCAAGAGAUCAGCGUGGGUACUCUGGAAAAGCUGGGAUGGAACAUCCCGAGACUACACUCCAUUCGAGAGCCCACUUGGCCCCAGCAGCCUUUCUCCUCUCCUCGCUGGACCACAGAAGCCUGGGAUUUCUAUCAGGUGGAUACGGUUUUAGUCCCUUCUCUCUCUUCCAUGCUGGCCAGGGGAUUGCCAAGCUCCAGGCUCAUCCAUGAAGCUCUAUGUUUGAAAUGGCUACUUGACACAGGACAAUACUGACAUAGCUAAAUUUAUAAGCCUAGAUAUUUUCAACAUUUAUUUUAUUAUCAGCUAUUAUGCUCGAAAACCCUCACCCUAUCACUGAUGCCUUUCACACCCUUAUCCCAUCCUUGACUUAACUGCACUCCUGCUCAGGGGUAAAAAAGGAAGCUCAGGAUGGAUCAAGGGUCAGCAAUGUCUGACAUGCACAUUACUUGGUAAAGUGCAAAAAAAAAGUAAACACUCUUUUUUUCUUUUUGCCAUGCCUACGUCCAAAUGGCUGCCUCAAAAACCACAACAAAACUUCCUAUCUCGACCUGAUUCUUUCUCUCCUCGCCUGGAUCAGCCAAAAUCUCCAGGUAGUAUUAGCUCAUCUAAUGCGCUACCUUCCCUCUCUGGCAGCUUCUAACAGGACCAGAUACACACCAGUCAUGUCCCUCCCUGCGUGGAGGCCCUGUUCUCUUCCUGCUGACUUUCCACUUUGAGGCUAAUUGCCCCAGCCAAGAAUAGACAUCUGCUGCAGUGUGACCCUGAAAACCCACAGGGUCACCGUCUGGAGUUGUGCCCGCCAGCUCCUAGCACCCAGGCAUCUCCUGGCCAACUGCUGGAGACGCUAGAGCAUCACCCUGUGCCAGGAGCAGGGCCCAGACCAGUGCCUAGCGUGCCGCCGCCUCGCUCCUCUCAGGCUGCACCUGCCAUCUGCCACGAUUCCCACAGUGGGGAAGAGCUCCCUGCUCCAAAAAAUUCCUCCCUAACAAGCUCCCCUUAGAAACUGAAGCCCUGCAUUUCACGAUUAGAUACAAGGCGAACAGGCAAUGAUCCUGGAAGCAGUUAAACAACAGCGGUUCCACUUGGAAGCCUGAACGGCCCUUUGUGAGGUGAUUUUAAUCCAACAGGAUAGAGGGCACCUGAGAGGAGGAGGAGAGGGGAUGUGGUCAGAGGGCCGCGUGAAAACAAAUGGCUUCUUCCCAAUACAGCUGACCCAGGGCGCCUCUGCCCAGUGCCACGCACUGCACUAUACUGGCUCCAUAUACAUUAUCUCAUUCGAUCCUCAGAGGGACCCGACGAAGGGGGCAUUAUUGUCUCCGUUGUACAGGCAAGCAAACUGAGUUUCAGAUCUUAAGUAUUUAUCUACGACCAAACUGCCAGUAAACGGCGCAAGAGUUGGGUUCCCUGGUUCCCCUGAUAACCAUCUCGGCGCACAGAUGCCAAAAGCCUGGACCAUGAGGGCAAGUAUGGGUCAUUCCCACUGCCCCCUGGGUGAGCCCUGGGGGCUCCAGGAGCACAGUCCGCUGUCAAGGGCCAUGGGAGGAGCGCUCCGAUAGACUUAGGGGGCGGGAUGUCACUGGACCCAGCCUCGAACGCCACCGGCAACACCCCUGAGAGGGUGGCACCUUCGACAGUGUGCAGGAACAAGCGUGGUGCCCAACACUACCCCAGACGGCAGGUGCACGAACUCGGUGGGCAACGACUGUAAUUAUUUGUCCGCUCCCAACCUCUCUUUGCGCCUCUCGUUCUCACCUUGAAUCUGGUCAGUUUUGGGUUUUCGGCGGAAAUGCGGAUAUUACGUUUUGUUGGUGCCACUUACCUCGGGCUCUACAUGUUGGGGUCGGCGUGCCUGGUGGUAGGCCAGGAAUGAGGAACCACGCGACAGGCGCCCUCUUUCUGCGUCCGCACUUUCCUGGCGCAGUUUCUAGGCCGUUGGCCCUUUGACCUCGCCCUUGACCCUUGACCUAGCGGAGGCAGCUUUGCUCCUACUGCGCCUGGGGCCACCUUCAGCGACCGCGCGCACCUCCUUCCGGCUUGGCUGACCUGCAAGGCCGCAAGGGACCCUGGGACAUCCCGUUCCCUGCGCACAGCACUCUGGGAUGGGGGCAGGGGAAUGGGCGGGGCCACUGCAUGCCACACCUGUGGGCCUGGUUCCCACGUGGUGACGACUCCU